GACGAGCGCUGGCGGCGUGCUUAACACAUGCAAGUCGAACGGAAAGGCCCUGCUUGCUGGGUACUCGAGUGGCGAACGGGUGAGUAACACGUGGGUGAUCUGCCCUGCACUUCGGGAUAAGCCUGGGAAACUGGGUCUAAUACCGGAUAGGAGCCAUUUUUAGUGUGAUGGUUGGAAAGUUUUUUCGGUGUAGGAUGAGCUCGCGGCCUAUCAGCUUGUUGGUGGGGUAAUGGCCUACCAAGGCGGCGACGGGUAGCCGGCCUGAGAGGGUGGACGGCCACAUUGGGACUGAGAUACGGCCCAGACUCCUACGGGAGGCAGCAGUGGGGAAGAUUGCACAAUGGGCGCAAGCCUGAUGCAGCGACGCCGCGGGGGGGAUGACGGCCUUCGGGUUGUAAACUCCUUUCGCUAGGGACGAAGCUUUUUGUGACGGUACCUAGAGAAGAAGCACCGGCUAACUACGUG
rnacentral:rRNA from 1 species